GAUGAAGCCCUUCGGGGUGGAUUAGUGGCGAACGGGUGAGUAACACGUGGGCAAUCUGCCCUGCACUCUGGGACAAGCCCUGGAAACGGGGUCUAAUACCGGAUACGACUUUCGGAGGCAUCUCUGAAGGUGGAAAGCUCCGGCGGUGCAGGAUGAGCCCGCGGCCUAUCAGCUUGUUGGUGGGGUGAUGGCCUACCAAGGCGACGACGGGUAGCCGGCCUGAGAGGGCGACCGGCCACACUGGGACUGAGACACGGCCCAGACUCCUACGGGAGGCAGCAGUGGGGAAUAUUGCACAAUGGGCGAAAGCCUGAUGCAGCGACGCCGCGUGAGGGAUGACGGCCUUCGGGUUGUAAACCUCUUUCAGCAGGGAAGAAGCGAAAGUGACGGUACCUGCAGAAGAAGCGCCGGCUAACUACGUGCCAGCAGCCGCGGUAAUACGUAGGGCGCAAGCGUUGUCCGGAAUUAUUGGGCGUAAAGAGCUCGUAGGCGGCUUGUCGCGUCGGAUGUGAAAGCCCGGGGCUUAACCCCGGGUCUGCAUUCGAUACGGGCAGGCUAGAGUUCGGUAGGGGAGAUCGGAAUUCCUGGUGUAGCGGUGAAAUGCGCAGAUAUCAGGAGGAACACCGGUGGCGAAGGCGGAUCUCUGGGCCGAUACUGACGCUGAGGAGCGAAAGCGUGGGGAGCGAACAGGAUUAGAUACCCUGGUAGUCCACGCCGUAAACGUUGGGAACUAGGUGUGGGCGACAUUCCACGUCGUCCGUGCCGCAGCUAACGCA
rnacentral:rRNA from 1 species